rnacentral:rRNA from 1 species
GACGAACGCUGGCGGCGUGCUUAACACAUGCAAGUCGAACGCUGAAGCUCAGCUUUUGUUGGGUGGAUGAGUGGCGAACGGGUGAGUAACACGUGAGUAACCUGCCUCCUUCUUUGGGAUAACGCCCGGAAACGGGUGCUAAUACUGGAUAUUCACUGGUCUUCGCAUGGGGGUUGGUGGAAAGGGUUUUUCUGGUGGGGGAUGGGCUCGCGGCCUAUCAGCUUGUUGGUGGGGUGAUGGCCUACCAAGGCUUUGACGGGUAGCCGGCCUGAGAGGGUGACCGGUCACAUUGGGACUGAGAUACGGCCCAGACUCCUACGGGAGGCAGCAGUGGGGAAUAUUGCACAAUGGGCGCAAGCCUGAUGCAGCGUCGCCGCGUGAGGGAUGGGGGCCGUCGGGUUGUGAACCUCUUUCGCUCAUGGUCAAGCCGCAACAAUGGUUGUGGUGAGGGUAGUGGGUAAAGAGGCGCCGGCUAACUACGUG